AUAGGGCGAAAAGAUGGCAUAUCAUAUUAUGUGUCACUACUUAAAGAAGGCAUAGCAUAAUAUGUGUCAAGGAUGUCCGUGGAACUGAUCUCAAGUAGGCGGCAACGAAUGUUUGCCGAUAAACUUUACCAGUGCUGGUUCACAUCUGUCACCAAUGUGUUUGAGAUAAGAAGUAUCGAUAAACUUUCACAUCGAUCACCAAUGUGUUUGAGCUAAAAUAUUUUUGUGUAGCUUUAAUUUUGUGAAGGUGGUUGUAACUUGUAAGGGACAAAUUAGUAAGUAGGAAUCAAACCAGUUGGCUGGGAAGUCAUUUUGAGUGUACCAUCGUUGUAGUUACCAUGAUGAGAGAAGAUAAUGUUGAAGGCAGCCUGCGUACAACUACCUUUACUAGGGUGCACUUUGCUUCCAAUAUUGCAGCUGCACGUCAAGUGAAGUAGAGGAUCAACAAGGUUCUUACAUAAAUACGCCUCUUAUGGGUUCGGAGGAGAAGGUUGGUAUUACGACUGCAUUUGGAGCUUCUGUCUAAACAUCUAAGAAGUUAGAUGUGCACUUUGAUGUAUUUUGGAUGAUUUUUUGC